rnacentral:tRNA from 1 species
GCGCCCUUCGCUCAGCUGGAUAGAGCAACGGCCUUCUAAGCCGCAGGUCACAGGUUCGCAUCCUGUAGGGCGUGCCA